ensembl:snRNA U6 U6 spliceosomal RNA
UUGCUUUGGCAGCACAUAUACUAAACUUGAAAUGAUACAGAGAAAAUUAUUAUGGUCCCUGCACAAGAAUGACACUUAAAUUCAUGAAGUGUUCCAUAUUUUU